rnacentral:tRNA from 1 species
UGGCUCAUUUGGUAGAGCAUGGUGUUUGCAACGCCAGGGUUGUGGGUUCGAUUUCCAC